CCAAUCCGUCGCCACGCGUCGCGUCAUUGACUUGUGGUGCACGAGCGAUUCGAAAAUCUAAAUUGGUGUCUACGUCAUUAGCACUUUCGCAACCAGUUUCAGGCAAGUUUCAAAUCGAGAUGCACCACAAUAACCGAAAAAAAAAUCCUAGUAAAAGCUCCAUGAUAAUUCCACCUGUUAUUUGGCAGAAUUAACAUCGUGAUAUGUUACAAGUAGACGCAGUAGACGCAGAGCUUUAAAAAAAACGUCCUUUUUGGACGUUUUUGUUCCGGGUCAAACACCAGCGCAGUGGUUGUGGAGCAUGCGCACUCGCAUUAUCUGGGUGUCUCGUGUAAACGCACUGACUAAGUGACUAAGACAACUAAGUCAAAACUCUCACUAAGUCUUGGGGGCACAGCUGCUUGAGGUUGACCAGGAAGGAACAGAAAAAAAGGAAAGGUUGGUUUGACGAGUAGGAAGGAAUGGAGAUCAUUUUGGUCCUUUAUGCCGAAAUGUUAUAAAAAAAAAUUGUUACAGCAUCUUGCGGUGGAUCUUCUCAGUUGUUCGUGUCGGCACAUCAAAAAACGCUUCAGGGACCGCUCCUCCCAGAUCUAUAGAGAUUCUUUUGUGGGCUACCAUUCAAAGAGGCUGUGGAUGCAGUACAUUGUUGCUGGAUUGCAUGGCCACUUCUCUGUACCAUGGAACUGAACUCACCCCUAGAAGGAUUUCUAAGAAUCUGGAUUCUUUGGAUGCUUUAUAAAAAUAUUAAUCAUCCAUAUGAAGGUGUAGGAAGAACAUAGAUC